rnacentral:rRNA from 1 species
GACGUAGGGGGCCAGCGUUGUUCGGAAUUACUGGGUGUAAAGGGUUCGUAGGCGGUGCGGCAAGUUGGGAGUGAAAUCUCUGGGCUUAACCCCAGAGGCUGCUUCCCAAAAACUGCUGUGCUUGAGUGUGGGAGAGGCGCGUGGAAUUGCAGGUGUAGCGGUGAAAUGCGUAGAUAUCUGCAGGAACACCCGUGGCGAAAGCGGCGCGCUGGACCACUACUGACGCUGAGGAACGAAAGCUAGGGGAGCAAACAGG